rnacentral:rRNA from 1 species
AUUGAACGCUGGCGGCAGGCCUAACACAUGCAAGUCGAACGAAUGGCGGACGGGUGAGCAAUGUCUGGGAAACCGCCUGAUGGAGCGGGCCUACUACUGGAAACGGUAGCUAAUACCGCAUACCAUCAGAUGUGUCCAGUUUGGAUUAGCGUGUUGGGGGGGUAACGGCACACCAAGGCGAAGAUCCCUGGCUGGUCUGAGAGGAUGACCAGCCACACUGGGACUGAGACACGGUCCAGACUCCUACGGGAGGCAGCAGUGGGGAAUAUUGCACAAUGGGCGCAAGCCUGAUGGAGCCAUGCCGCGUGUGUGAAGAAGGUCUUCGGGUUGUAAAGUACUUUCAGUGGGGAGGCGUUACCCGCAGAGGAAGCACCGGCUAACUCCGUGCCAGCAGCCGCGGUAAUAC